UUGUAACACCACGGGAGUUCGGUAAACCGGACUGAGAGGAAGACUAGAAAUAGAGUCUUCGACCGUCAAACCUGAUCUGGGUAAUGCCAGCGUAGGUAGAGACCUCUAACCCGU
rnacentral:ncRNA from 1 species